CAAAGGCACAUGCUCUCUAGCGAUGAAAAAAAGAAAAGAAGAAAGAAGACGAAGCAUUUGAAAGUAAGCUGACCGUGAACUUCCUUUGUGACUUAAGAUCGCUGACAUUGAAAACAAAUCAUGAAGAAUACUAAAGCAAGGAAUACGCGAGCACAGGUGCCCUGUAGCAACAAUGUCUCUUAAAAAAACCCAAAUCAAAAAGGAUGCGCAGCUUUGCAUGAAGUGAGAUCCUGCUCGAAUAGAAGACAGUUGGCCGCACAUUUCUCAAAGGCUUGUCAACUCUGAGACUUUGAACGGAAGGAGGUAGUGACCACCCCCCCCCCCAUAGGAAAACACUUCUCCUCCCCAGAAACCAGGCGGCACCUCUCCAUCCGAACGCCUCUGAGUUUAUCUGAUCAGAGGCUGGAAGUCCCCGGGGCAGAAAGGUUCCAUCUCAGCAUUCCCACAAGCCCCGGGAGUGCAUUCUUCCAAAAGGAAACUGCCCGAGGAGGGAAACGGAGCGGAGCGUACGGAAUUGACGAGACACGGUCUUACGUUCCCUACCCGAUAGCGCUCACCACUUCAUAAUCCGAACCGGCAAUGCCCAUGGAUAGACCGUUCACGUAAGCCCUCACAUUUACCUGUUCCUUUCCUACCCUUCAAUGCUCCACUGAGUGAGUAUUAAAAGCACAUGGUAACGCAAAGAAAAAAAUAACACUGUGUAUCUUAUAAAAAAAAAAAUGAUGACCAGAAACAUAAAAAUUAAAAAAAAAAAAGAGUGGGUUUUCUAUUAAUACAAGCC